UUCUAUGGAGAGUUUGAUCCUGGCUCAGAACGAACGCUGGCGGCGUGCCUAACACAUGCAAGUCGAACGGUAACAGGACUUUGGUCGCUGACGAGUGGCGCACGGGUGAGUAACGCGUGGGUUACCUGCCCAUAAGUGGGGAACAACUUGGAGAAAUCCAAGCUAAUACCGCAUAAUACCUUCGGGUUAAAGAGGGGGAUCUUCGGACCUCUCGCUUAUGGAUGGUCCCGCGUCUGAUUAGCUAGUUGGUAGGGUAAUGGCCUACCAAGGCAAUGAUCAGUAGCUGGUCUGAGAGGAUGAUCAGUCACACUGGAACUGAGACACGGUCCAGACUCCUACGGGAGGCAGCAGUGGGGAAUUUUGCACAAUGGGCGAAAGCCUGAUGCAGCGACGCCGCGUGCGGGAAGAAGGCCUUCGGGUUGUAAACCGCUUUCAACAGGGAAGAAGGAAUGAGAGCUAAUACCUCUCUGCCUUGACGGUACCUGUAGAAGAAGCACCGGCUAAUUUCGUGCCAGCAGCCGCGGUAAUACGAAAGGUGCAAGCGUUGUUCGGAUUUACUGGGCGUAAAGAGAUCGUAGGUGGCUUGUUAAGUCGGAUGUGAAAUCCCGGGGCUCAACCCCGGAACUGCAUUCGAUACUGGCAGACUAGAGUUUGGGAGGGGUAAGCGGAAUUCCGUGUGUAGCAGUGAAAUGCGUAGAUAUACGGAGGAACACCUGAGGCGAAGGCGGCUUACUGGACCAAUACUGACACUGAGGAUCGAAAGCGUGGGUAGCAAACAGGAUUAGAUACCCUGGUAGUCCACGCCCUAAACGAUGUCAACUAGCCGUAGCGGGUAUCGACCCCUGCUGUGGCGAAGCUAACGCGAUAAGUUGACCGCCUGGGGAGUACGGUCGCAAGAUUAAAACUCAAAGGAAUUGACGGG
rnacentral:rRNA from 1 species